rnacentral:lncRNA from 1 species
UCAGAACAACUCUUCUCCACUGCUCUCUUAUAGUAACUAGUUUUUUUCACUCCAUACCAAAAGAGCCUAGAAAAAAAAAUGAUGAAGCAGUUGCUCUCCCCAGCACUUCUUGUUCUGAUCUUCUUCCUCCUCUGCACCACAACUUCUGGUCAGUCUUCAGCACCAGCUGCGGCACCUUCUGGUCCUUCAGUUUCCUCAGGCUCUUCAUCAGGUCCUCCCGACAUCACUGCAAUUCUCAGAAAAGCUGGUAAGUUUACUACCUUCAUUGGGCUACUAAAGAGCACCCAGGUGGAUGACCUAAUCAACAACCAACUGAAAGCCAACCUGGGCUUCACCAUAUUUGCCCCAACCGAUAGUGCCUUUUCAGACCUCAAAUCAGGUACACUAAACUCAUUCACUGAUGAGCAGAAGACAGCACUGACAAAAUUCCACAUAGUGCCUUCUUUCCUGACUAUCUCACAGUUCCAAACUGUUAGCAACCCGGUGAACACAGUGGCAGGUGAUUCUGUGGAGUUUCCACUGAAUGUGAUAAGCAACGGAACUCAGGUGAACAUCACAACAGGGCUUGUCAAUACAACAGCGGACAGCACAGUACACAGCGAUGGUCAGCUUGCUGUGUAUGAGAUAGGCGAGGUGCUCCUUUCACAAGGUAUCCUCAAGCCUCUUGCAGAAGCUCCCCUAUCUCCCAAACCUAAGAAGGCUUCUCCUCCUAAUGCAUAUGCUCCUUCAAAGUCGACCGGCGCUUCUGCUAUUUCUUCUGAUGCUACGUGUCUUUCACCCUAUGCACCGACCGUAGCAUCCGUUGGAGUGGCUGUUCUUGCGGCAGUGCGCUUGUGCCUAUGAACUGAGUAUUGAUUGAUGAAUGACGAUGGUGUGAUCGAUCUGCAGUGUGCUUUUGCUGUCAUGAUUUUCGCUUAAUCAAAUUAUUACUUUGUAUUUGUCCUUGAAUUAGGAAAAAUGGGAUUAAUAAUACAAGGCUACUUAAUUUUGGUUUCAUAUUAAAAAUAUUGGUAAAUUGAGGCUUUCGCAAGGGAUGGUCAAGGAAAGGAGAAACUUUUGGUCUUUUGCUUUGGUGUCGAAUACUUUUUUUAAUUAGAUUAAAUUGAAAUCUUGGUAAAAAGUGGCUAUGUUUGAUUUUGAAAAAUAGUAGGUAAAGAAAAAAAGAUAAAGAAAAUGUUUUCUUUUUCUAUGAAAAAUGAAAAAAAAAAGUUAAAUAUAAUUAAAAUUAUGAAGAAAUUUGAAUUUUUUCAAAUUAGUUAAUUUAUAUAUAGAAGAGUUAAAUCCGUUAAAAAAAAAAAUAAUAUAUAAAUUUUUUUUAUAAAAUUUAUAUCUAUUUUUUCAUUUUCCUUUACUUUUUAUCUUAAUUUUAUUUCCCUCAUAUUUUCCUUCAAACUUUUUGGAACCAAACAUAAUCUUAAAAUAUUAAAUACUAAUUGGGUAUUAAUAAACCCAAAAUUUUCUAAUUACUUUUGUAAUUAAGUUAAGUGACAAUAAUUAAUAAUUUUUUUUAAAAAAUAGUGUGACAUGUGAUAGAUAGGUCAUGAUAAGUAGUGUAAGGUUAAAAAUGAUAACUGGAUAUUCUAAAAUAUUGAUGCUUGUUGGAAGGCCUUCCCAUAUGUAACACAUGUCUGUUAAUCCCUUUGUUAAAGAUUGGAUUAUGAUAGUGUCACGGCCAGGAUGAUAAAGCCGAAAGGCCUAGAGUAUCAUUAAUCAGUGGGGUUUGUUUUCAUAAUUUAACUUGGAUCUGAAUCAUGUCAAUUUGUUUUUGUUGGUACCUAAAUCAUGUUAAAUCUUCUAGUUUUUAAAUCCAAAAAAAGAAAAAAAAAAUUUAAGGAUUAUGGAUUAAAUGUUUUAAUCUUAAAAAUAAUUAUCACAUUUAUUUAUUUAUUUUUUUGCUUUGUAUAAUUAAAAUAAGAUAUUUAAAAAUUAAUAAUUUAAUAAAAUAGCAAUUUAACAUAUAUCCAAAAUACCAAAACCUAUUAUAAUAAUAAAAAAUUUAAAGAUUAAUAAUUUAAACACCUUGCUAUUACAUAUUACUAAUUAAAUACCUAAAAAUAUUAAAUUUAUUAACAUAGUAAAAAUAUAGAAAAAAUGACAAAAUUAAUUAAAUGCUUGAAGAGCCUAUUUGCAAUUUGGCUUAGAAGAAGCUUUUGUAUAAACAUGUGUAAAAUGUCUUAAAUCUUGAAAAAAAAUUUACAUCGUUAAAAAUAAUAUGAAAGUAAAAGAAAUAUUAACUUUUUCCCUUUGAAUAAAAUUGUCUUAUCAAUUAAAGAUGGAUAUAAAUUGAGCUUAAAUUUAUCCAGGCUAAUGUCCAUGAAUAUACCGGUAACCGCAAAUUUAGCAAUUUAAUUAGUUGACAAAUCAUAGUAAUAAGGAUUGGAGCCCCGAGGGGAGCAUGAACUGCUGUCUCCCACUGCCACUAACCAUGUCCAUGUCUUCAGUAUCGUCCCCUUGCAGAAAGGGAUGCGUAUCUUUUUUUCCUUCCUUGCUAAGCAAACUAUACUAGAUGUUUUAACAAUAUGUAACACCCCAUCUGUGUCUUCCUCUACCUUACUAAUAUAGAUGGGAUAUAUAUUGAGGUUCUCAUGCCAACUUCGAAAAGCAACCUUUCACCGAAAUUCAUGCUCACUUCCCAUCUCACCCCACUCAAUAAAAGCCCCAUUAGUUCCCCCCUCCAUAUUCAUCCAAAACAACCAUUCUCCACUUCUUUCUCGGAGCAGCAAGUUUCUCCACUCAAUAUCAGAAGAGCCUAGAAAAAUAUGAUGAAGCAGCUUUUCUCCUCCACUCUUCUUGGGAUGAUCUUCCUCCUCUGCAGCUCAUCAAUUUCUGGUCAGUCUUUGACACCGGCUCAAGCACCUUCAGGUUCUACCACAACUUCUGGUCAGUCUUCACCACCAACUCAAGCACCUUCAGGUUCUUCAUCUCCUUCAGGUCCCGCUGACAUCAUUGCAGUUCUCACAAAGGCCGGUAAGUUUACUACCUUCAUUGGGCUACUAAAGAGCA